GUUGAUCCAAAGAAAAGGGAAGAACUGCAUUAAAUAUAAGUUGAAACUACACAUUUGGGCAGCACCAUCUUCCAUAAAUUGAGGAGCCCCGGUGAACUGCUAGAGCCAAGCCAAGGGCUGACCUCUGUGGUAGAGGGCCACUAGCCAUCAAGUCUGCUCAGAGGAGCAAGUCUUAACCUGCUGCCCAAGUCUCUGGCUUCAGACCAAGGCUAUGAAGAGCAGAGAAGAUGAACCAGUUGAAGUUCAUUACAUAGCCUGCUUCAGAAGCUGUGUGUCCCCUCCAAGGCCUUGUUUUGUUUCCUCAUUUGUCUUCUCAGCAGCAGCACCAAGAACACGAAGCUGUCCUGGCUGUCACUGCUAUCACCUGUCACCACCUGAGCUGCCAGACUUUAAAACUGCACACUUUGUUAUAAGUUCCAUUUUCAAAGGAGAAUGCAGUUGGGUACUGAGCUACCCUGGCCUUCCUUCCCCCUGCAGUCACAGGCAGCCUCUCUUCCCAGCGGUGCGGUUCAGUGGCAAAGCCUCCCCGUGGUCAGAGCAGACACUUUUCACCAGCAGAUGUGUCACAACAGCCUGUCAUCCUCUGGCCUCUUAGGGCCACCUGAUGAGAACAAGGGGGUGUUACCAGUGCUGUUUCCAGUGUGAGCAUGGGGGUGUUACCAGUGCAGUUUCCAGAUGUGAAUGAGGGGCUGUUACCAGUGCUCUUUCCACUGCUGGUUUCAGUGCGUUAGAGCUGGCUGAGCAGGUCACCUGGCCUGGGGACAAGGAUGAGCAUGAGAAGCAGAAAUGGUUGAAAGCAAAAGCAAUUAAAGAACAGUCACUGAGGGAGGUAGUACAAAUCUGUUGUCACUGAAGUGUGUUAUCCUGAAGGACUAAAGGAGUAUGUAGUAGUUCCCGGGCACUGGUCUUGCUGGGUUGAGCAAACUCUUCCAGCUUUCUCCUUCCAGAAGAGACUUGCAAAGAGCAUUUCCAGGUGCUGUGCCAUACCCCUUCACAUCAGAUGCAGCUGCGACUCGGUUAUCAGUCUAAAUCUUAUUAGGCGAAGAAGAGCAGCAAGGCAGAUUAGUUAUGGCCACAGGAAACCUAGUAUGAAAGGGCAUGGUGUUUGCCAGAUGUGCUUCAGAUUUGCAGGCACUCCGGGGUGUUUCAUAUACCCAUCAAUUCACUGUGUAGAUUUUGUUGCUGCACAGAUCCGUGCUCCCCUAAGCCUUAUAAUAACCAGUUUGUGGGUGUAGUGAAGGCAAAAUUCAAUCAGAGUCUCUGACUCAUCCCAUCACUAGGAUUUUGAACACAAGAGCAAUUGCUCACUGCCCACUCCUCCCCCACACUCCCUAUUAACUCAGGUCACUCACUGUUCCCACAGGCUUGCUCUCUCCAGGUCUCCCCACCUACUCCUUUAUUUUUCUGGCAGGUGGCUCCUCUUUCAUUCCAGGUGCUUUUUUUUUUCCCUUGGCCUUGUGUACGUAGCUUUCGCUCAGCUCAGGCGUCAGCUCUUCUUCCCAAGCUGUUAUACUUUGACUGCAUCAUAAAAUACAAAAGACAAGGUUGUGCUUGUCUGAUGGAGAAGCCUAGCAGAAACAAGACCUGUAUUCCUAUUGGCCCAAUUCAUCCCCAGCAUUGGAAAGAUAUUUAAAAUCUUAAAAAUCAAUACAAGAAGAAUUGGGGAGUUUAUUUGCAAGUCUGUUUGACAGCUGUGCCCUCUCCCAACUUAUCUCCUCAUAUGAGGACUGGCACUUUUUUUUUGAGGAGAUGAACUUCAUUUGAAAUGUAUUGCAAUAAAAGGAAAACUGUUGUGGUUUUAGAGAUUUUGGAACACCACUGAAAACCUGCUGUGAGGUAUAAGUCCCACAACUGAAACGCAAAAGGCAAUUAGAAGUGUCCCUUUUCUGUGACCUUGAUGUUUGUCUUGUGGCUGUGGGCAUGGUCUGCCAUGCAGUAUUAGAUUCCUGGAAGGUCUUGACCACAAUAAAGAAGAAAUUAAUAAUGGUGAAAUUAAA